UACGGAGGGUGCGAGCGUUAUCCGGAUUCACUGGGUUUAAAGGGUGCGUAGGUGGCUUUGUAAGUCAGUGGUGAAAUCUUAGAGCUUAACUCUAAAACUGCCAUUGAUACUGCUUAGCUUGAAUCAAGUCGAGGUGGAUGGAAUAUUACAUGUAGCGGUGAAAUGCUUAGAUAUGUAAUAGAACACCGAUUGCGAAGGCAGUUCACUAGGCUUGUAUUGACACUGAGGCACGAAAGCGUGGGGAUCAAACAGG
rnacentral:rRNA from 1 species